ACUUACUGCCGAGCCUGAUCAGCCAUGCCGCGUGUGUGAAGAAGGUCUUCGGAUUGUAAAGCACUUUAAGUUGGGAGGAAGGGCAGUAAGUUAAUACCUUGCUGUUUUGACGUUACCGACAGAAUAAGCACCGGCUAACUCUGUGCCAGCAGCCGCGGUAAUUA
rnacentral:rRNA from 1 species